AUUGAACGCUGGCGGCAUGCCUUACACAUGCAAGUCGAACGGCAGCGGACCUUCGGGUGCCGGCGAGUGGCGAACGGGUGAGUAAUAUAUCGGAACGUACCUUUCAGUGGGGGAUAACGUAGCGAAAGUUACGCUAAUACCGCAUAUUCUGUGAGCAGGAAAGCAGGGGAUCGCAAGACCUUGCGCUGAUUGAGCGGCCGAUAUCAGAUUAGCUAGUUGGUGAGGUAAAGGCUCACCAAGGCGACGAUCUGUAGCGGGUCUGAGAGGAUGAUCCGCCACACUGGAACUGAGGCACGGUCCAGACUCCUAC
rnacentral:rRNA from 1 species